AACGCUAGCUACAGGCUUAACACAUGCAAGUCGAGGGGAAACGACAUCGAAAGCUUGCUUUUGAUAGGCGUCGACCGGCGCACGGGUGAGUAACGCGUAUCCAACCUGCCCACCACUUGGGGAUAACCUUGCGAAAGUAAGACUAAUACCCAAUGACGUCUCUAGAAGACAUCUGAAAGAGAUUAAAGAUUUAUCGGUGAUGGAUGGGGAUGCGUCUGAUUAGCUUGUUGGCGGGGUAACGGCCCACCAAGGCGACGAUCAGUAGGGGUUCUGAGAGGAAGGUCCCCCACAUUGGAACUGAGACACGGUCCAAACUCCUACGGGAGGCAGCAGUGAGGAAUAUUGGUCAAUGGGCGAGAGCCUGAACCAGCCAAGUAGCGUGCAGGAUGACGGCCCUAUGGGUUGUAAACUGCUUUUAUAAGGGAAUAAAGUUAGUCUCGUGAGGCUUUUUGCAUGUACCUUAUGAAUAAGGACCGGCUAAUUCCGUGCCAGCAGCCGCGGUAAUACGGAAGGUCCGGGCGUUAUCCGGAUUUAUUGGGUUUAAAGGGAGCGUAGGCCGGAGAUUAAGCGUGUUGUGAAAUGUAGACGCUCAACGUCUGCACUGCAGCGCGAACUGGUUUCCUUGAGUACGCACAAAGUGGGCGGAAUUCGUGGUGUAGCGGUGAAAUGCUUAGAUAUCACGAAGAACUCCGAUUG
rnacentral:rRNA from 1 species